rnacentral:rRNA from 1 species
UACGUAGGGCGCGAGCGUUGUCCGGAAUCAUUGGGCGUAAAGAGCUCGUAGGCGGCCUGUCGCGUCUGCUGUGAAAUCCCGGGGCUUAACCCCGGGCGUGCAGUGGAUACGGGCUGGCUGGAGGCAGGCAGGGGAGAACGGAAUUCCCGGUGUAGCGGUGAAAUGCGCAGAUAUCGGGAGGAACACCGGUGGCGAAGGCGGUUCUCUGGGCCUGUACUGACGCUGAGGCGCGAAAGCUAGGGGAGCAAACAGG